rnacentral:rRNA from 1 species
GACGAACGCUGGCGGCGUGCUUAACACAUGCAAGUCGAACGGAAAGGCCCUGCUUUUGUGGGGUGCUCGAGUGGCGAACGGGUGAGUAACACGUGAGUAACCUGCCCUUGACUUUGGGAUAACUUCAGGAAACUGGGGCUAAUACCGGAUAGGAGCUCCUGCUGCAUGGUGGGGGUUGGAAAGUUUCGGCGGUUGGGGAUGGACUCGCGGCUUAUCAGCUUGUUGGUGGGGUAGUGGCUUACCAAGGCUUUGACGGGUAGCCGGCCUGAGAGGGUGACCGGCCACAUUGGGACUGAGAUACGGCCCAGACUACUACGGGAGGCAGAAGUGGGGAAUAGUGCACAAUGGGCGGAAGGCUGAUGCAGCAACGCCGCGUGCGGGAUGACGGCCUUCGGGUUGUAAACCGCUUUCGCCUGUGACGAAGCGUGAGUGACGGUAAUGGGUAAAGAAGCACCGGCUAACUACGUG